UACGUAGGUGGCGAGCGUUGUCCGGAUUUAUUGGGUUUAAAGGGUGCGUAGGCGGCUUUGUAAGUCAGUGGUGAAAUACUCCAGCUUAACUGGAGGGGUGCCAUUGAUGCUGCGGAGCUUGAGUACAGAUGAGGUAGGCGGAAUUGACGGUGUAGCGGUGAAAUGCAUAGAUAUCGUCAAGAACACCGAUAGCGAAGGCAGCUUACUGGGCUGUAACUGACGCUGAUGCACGAAAGUGUGGGGAUCAAACAGG
rnacentral:rRNA from 1 species